ensembl:lncRNA
GUGAUAGGACUGAAGACCAAAGCCCAGCAUACAGGGAGCGAACAGAGAUGAAGCGCAACCCGCUAAGAACUGGAGACCUCAGUCUCAUCCUGAAAUACCCCACAAACAAGGACAGAGGCACCUACACCUGCACCGUCUACAACAAGGAGGGAGAAAAAAUCCUGAAUGACACACACGACACACACGUGGAGCUUAAAGUCAGAGUCCCCCAGGUGGAGGUGGAUUCAGGGGUGGAGUCUGUCCAGCUGAUCUGCAAAAUCAGAGUUCGUCUGAUAAAAAAAGACCCUAAAGUGGAGUGGACGGAGAACAACAAGAAGGUCCAUGUGUAUCAGAACGGCUCUGAACAGCCUGAAGAACAGCACCAGGAUUACAGAGACCGGACAGAGAUGAAUAAAGACCUGCUGAAAACUGGAGACCUCAGUCUGACCCUGAAAUACCCCACAGAGUGGGACACAAACACCUACACCUGCACCGUCUACAGCUGGGGGGAAAACAUCUUAAUGAAGAAACAAGUGGAGCUUAAAGUCAGAGUCUGUGAGGUGGAGCUGAAGAUGGGGGAGUCUGUCCAGCUGCCCUUCAAAACCACAGAAAAACUGCCUGAAGAUGCUAAAGUGGAGUGGAAGGACAGAUACAACAGGAAGGUUCAUGUGUAUCCAGAAGUGUCUGACCAGCCUAAAGAACAGGAUAAGGAUUAUAGAGAUCAAACAGAGAUGGAUGACUGCCCGCUGAAAACUGGAGAGCUCAGUCUGACUCUGAAAAACCCCACAGAGGGAAACAUUGGGAGAUACACAUGUUGCGUCUGGAGAAAGGGAGACAAAAUCAGAUCGAAAACAGUGAUGUUAAAAGUUCCUCGGGUGCCAUUGUCUAGAUAUUGAACUAUGGUUUUAUUAUAUUAAUUUCCUCUUUAUGAUAAGAUAGAAUGAACUUUAAUGUCCCCAUGUUUAAAUUUGGUGUGGACUCUAGGAUUGUCACAGAAUCUGCCUUUACAAAGUCAAUAGACAUUAAAAGAAAAGAGAAAUAGAUAACAGAUAAAUAAAAAAUAUAUAUAUAUAUGUAUAAAUUUAAAUAAAACCCAGAAGCUGUGCCUUGAUCAUCACAGAAACCUGGCUUCACCCAGGAGUACCUGAAGCUAGCGUGCAGCUAGCAGGCUGCACUGUGCUCCGCUGGGACAGGACAAAGGCAAGAGUGGGUGGGGGGAUUGUAUGCUCCCUCUAGGUGCGAUCUUUCAGAAAUACAAUAUCGCUUUUCACUGUUAUGCCGAUGAUAUAUAGAUCUACUUUGAACUAACUGAUGAUCUGUCUCUGCACUGUUUGUGUGAGGUCAAAGAAUGGCUCUUAGGAAACUCUCUUAUCUUAAAUGAUAAGAAAACGGAAGUCGUGGUAUUUGAUAGUAAUAUCCCUCGCGGCCAACUUCGUAAUGCCUUUGGUUCCCUUGCCAGUUCCAUCUCUGACACUGUUAGCAAUUUGGGCGUGUUGCUGGAUAGCUCUUAAAUUUGAUAAACAAGUGUCCACUGUAUAUAGAUCUAGCUUCUACCAACUGCAUUUCAUUUCUAAGGCUAGGCAUGCCCUCUGACUGGAACUGGGAGGUUUGCCUCUAUUAUCCCUGUUCUUGCUGAUCUGCACUGCACCCAUUAAAUACCGUAUCCAAUUUAAAAUAUUGUUGCUUACUUUUAAAAUUAUCAACAACACAGCGCCGAGCUACCUUAUCGAAUUCCUUAGAUUGUCCUUGUUAGAGCACUAAGAUCAUCUACUCAGGUAAUCUUGGUGCAGCCAAGAUUGUAGCAUCCAGUCGAACUGAGAAGGCCAGAACUGAUGGUUGUUGAAUGACCUUUAUUAUUCCUUGCCGUGUAUCAGACAACGAACCAACGUAAGAGCUAGACAAACAAAUAAAACAAUUACCAUAUUAUUCAUGUAACACUAUUUUAACCGCUCAUUACGCUGGUCUAACAGUUUUCUAUUAAACUAUAUAAUACAUAUUAUGCAUUUCAGAUUGCUCAAAUUAAAUCAUAUACAUUACAAACCUUGUUCCCCUGUCGACUGUAGCUAGAACCAUUCGUUUUUGUACAAUUUAACCAUAUUCUUCCCCUUUCUCAGUUAGCAUUAGUUUUCCGUUUUCUCCGUCUUUUUGUACAUCAAGUUGUUUACUGUUACAUCAUUCACUUCCGGUCACACAGGAAGUUACCAAAAUAAAAGCACAAACGUUAUAUUACGUGAAUAUGAACUAGCUUUACAUAUCCGCCGUUACAAAGAUCUUGGCUGAAAUCUAGAGGUGACCGUGCACCUGAUGUGUAGACUUAUUGUGUUUCUCUUUUAUACGUUUCUUUUAUGGCUUUUGUGCUUUUACCAUGUUUUUAUUUGAUAUGCAUUUCAUUGCUACUUAGGUAACUGUUUGUACAGUCAUUUGUAUAAAGAGUAAACAGGACUGGUGAACUAGCGCAGCAGUUUUUCUGGACCUUUGCUGCCCUAUUAUGGGUUUUUUUUUCUGAAUCUUUGGUUUUAUUUAGCCUUUUCUCUAUUUUUUUUCCCAAUGAGUCUUAGCUUUACACAGCC